rnacentral:rRNA from 1 species
UAACGCGUGGGCGACCUGCCUCACACAGGGGGAUAACAGCCAGAAAUGGCUGCUAAUACCGCAUAAGCGCACAGUGCUGCAUGGCACAGUGUGAAAAACCGAGGUGGUGUGAGAUGGGCCCGCGUCUGAUUAGCUUGUUGGCGGGGUAACGGCCCACCAAGGCGACGAUCAGUAGCCGGCUUGAGAGAGUGGACGGCCACAUUGGAACUGAGACACGGUCCAAACUCCUACGGGAGGCAGCAG